ACUUGUGACAGUUGGCGAUAUUGCAUAUGGCGCGCGGCAUUAUGCUGUUGUUUACGGUUUCCUGUACGAGAUCAUGUCCACGGAUGCCGUCACUGGCGAAUUUCGCAUAAGGCAAGAUUAUAGUCGCGAUACCGAUGGUAAUCGACGAUCGACCGCGGUCGGUCGACCGCACCGUAAUGCGGUACCCUGUGUCAUCUCGGCCGGCUUCAGCAAGUACAUUAAGGGUUAUGAAGUGCUGGGUGUAUUGGGUAAGGGUGCCUACGGAAUGGUCUACCUGGCGAAAUGUCGCCACAACAACAUGGAAAUCGCGAUCAAAAUGAUAAACAAGGAAUUAAUGCAUUAUGCUAAGAUGGAGGAUAGAGUUACUGCGGAGAUAAAGAUACACACACAAUUGAAACAUCCAACUAUCUUAGAGGCGUACACAUGGUUCGAAGAUGACCACUAUGUGUACCUAGUCUUAGAAUUAUGUGACAAUGGAGACCUUCUGCACUAUCUCCAAGCACAUGGCACUCUAUCUGAGGAAGAAGCUGCUUACAUAAUCAAACAAGUAGUGCAGGGUUUGCUUCAUCUCCGUUUCCACAACAUAGUUCACAGAGAUUUAUCACUGUCCAAUGUACUCUUAACCAAAAAUAUGCAGGUGAAAAUAGCAGAUUUUGGCUUAGCCACACAGUCGACUAAACCAGAUGAAAAACAUUUGACUAUGUGCGGCACGCCAAACUUUAUUUCGCCCGAAAUUGCUAUAAGAUCGCCGCAUGGGCCAGAAGCAGAUGUAUGGAGCUUGGGAUGUAUGUUGUAUACUUUAUUAGUGGGCAAGCCACCAUUUGAGACUAACGGGGUUAAGGGCACUCUUACUCGAGUGGUCAUGGACGACUAUGAAAUACCAUCUCAUCUAUCAGACAAUGCAAAGGAUUUAAUAGAUAAAUUACUGAAGAAGAAUCCGAAAGACAGAAUACACUUGUCGGACAUUGAUAAACAUCCAUUCAUAGAAAAAAAUAGAUUACGUAAUGAAAGAAACGGUGCAAGCAAAAUUCAAUUUACCAAUGGCAUGAUGGAUUCUGGACUUGGUAGAACAUUGUCAUCAUGUGGUCAUCAGCCUAAAAUAAGAUCUCAAUCGGAGGAAAGAAAAUCGGUCAAAAAAAUACCUAUGAUCAGCGUGAGAAGCGAACCGUUAUCUAAUUCUGUUGUAAAAAUGAUCUCGAACCAUAGUGCAAAAUACAAUUGUCGCCCAAAGGAGGAUUCUUUGAGCAUUCCGCUGCCACGUGAUAGAGCGUUCUCGCAGAGCGAACAGUAUAGCAAUUAUAAUGCUUACAACUCCAAGAAACCGAAAAUAGUGGAAAAGCCAAAGAAGGAAAACGUAGAGAAUCGCAGCGCAGAAAGAACUCAGAAGAAUACGAAGCUAUCAGUAUCACCCUUAAAUUCCAACAGACUACAGCCUACCAGACACACAACGAAGAACGUGAUUCUCACCAUUCUAAAUAACGGAGAAGUGUGCCUUGAGUUUCUCAAACGGAGAAACAGCACGAAACAGAUAAGCGAGGUGUGUAGAAUAUCAGGCGAUGGUCAGCGAAUUAUUCUGUACAAACCGACGACGACUGUGGAGAUUGGCUCGCAACCUCUCCCAUUGCCUAGUGGAGGUGCCGAUAAUAUGUAUUCGUAUGAGAAUUUGCCGUCGUACCAUCAUCAGAAAUAUAUGUAUGCCUCCCGUUUCGUGAAAUUAGUUCAAGCGAAAACCCCGAAGUUGACGUUGUAUACUCAAAGCUCGAAAUGCCUAUUCAUGGAAAACGGUCCGGACCCUGAUUGUGAAGUCAGUUUUUACAAUAAUAAGGGAAUAAAGGUUAUCCGAGUGAACGGUGUUGUGAAGAUCAUCGAUGACAAUGCCACAUUUACGCAAGAUAAACUUCCGUCGUACCUCGAGAAAUAUUACGAGGAUUACUCAAAAUGUUAUAAAUAUUGCUCAUUAUUGGAAUCUGCUCUAACGAGUUUGGAGACAGUCACUGAGUGUUCUUACUUUCCCGCAAUAAUCGGACGACGGCCCAAUACGGCCUUGAAUGAUUCUCCCUUUCAGGGGAAAGAAAACGUCUCGCAUAUGACAAAUGGUUCCCCAAUCAUGCCAUCAUUCGGCGAUAUGUAUUCCGUCAUCUCGACAAUAACUUCCAGAUCGCGCAAGAUAAAUUCCAUGCAUAAUUCGAAUAAAGUACCAGAAUUAACCAAAAUUGACUCGGUUGAAGAAUUGCCAUCUGGCGAUAUUAGGAUCAAAUACAUAGAUAAAUCCGUCAUAACUAUACGAAAUCCGCAAAGUUGUAACUCCUGUGACAUCACGUACGAGACUAAAUACGGUACCGUUACACAAUAUAACAAGUAUCAUCAGCAGACAUUGGAGAAAUCAGACCUAAAGACAAAGCUCCGACAAUUGCCGAUGGUUCUCGAGCAUUAUGUGGAUAAAACGCCCAAAGGCAUUCGGUAGCUCUGCAUAAAAACACAGAAUAUUUUGUACAAGAAAUUACUCUUGCCUAUGGACUAAAGAAGACGAGAAGCAAUUGUUGAUACAAAUACAUGUAUAUAAGGAAAAUUUUUGAGAAUAAUUCUUGUAAGAGUGGAUUUAAAUUGAGAAUUUUUCCAUUAUUUGCAAUAUAUAAAGAAGCAUUCUGUGGAAUCCAGUAUCUCCUAAUUCUCAAAGUGACAAAUUAAUUAUACAGGUAUAUUGUUAUUUUUAUUUAUAAAAGAUUAUUAAUAUUUUUAAAUCAUAUAAUUUUUCGUCUCGCUGUUUCGUCUCGCCGAACAGUAAUAAGAAACGAAUUUGUAAUAAACUAAGUAACCAUGAAAA